rnacentral:rRNA from 1 species
UACGAAGGGGGCUAGCGUUGCUCGGAAUUACUGGGCGUAAAGCGCACGUAGGCGGAUUUGUAAGUCAGGGGUGAAAGUCCCGAGCUCAACCUCGGAACUGCCUUUGAUACUGCAAAUCUCGAGUCCGGAAGAGGUGAGUGGAAUUCCUAGUGUAGAGGUGAAAUUCGUAGAUAUUAGGAAGAACACCAGUGGCGAAGGCGGCUCACUGGUCCGGUACUGACGCUGAGGUGCGAAAGCGUGGGGAGCAAACAGG